rnacentral:hammerhead_ribozyme from 1 species
AGGCGAAACGCCUUGUCCCCGCACGCCAGCGGUGGGCAGGGCGUCCGGCCGGGGUGGUGCCCGGCUGCUGACGAUGCCAGCCGCAU